UGGCUCAGAACGAACGCUGGCCGCAGGCUUAACACAUGCAAGUCGAGCGGGCGUAGCAAUACGUCAGCGGCAGACGGGUCAGUAACGCGUGGGAACGUACCUUUUGGUUCGGAACAACACAGGGAAACUGGAGCUAAUACCGUAUGUGCCCGAAAGGGGAAAGAUUCAUCGCCUUCAGAUGGGCCCGCGUCAGAUUAGCUAGUUGGUGGGGUAAUGGCCCACCAAGGCGACGAUCUGUAGCUGGUCUGAGAGGAUGAUCAGCCACACUGGGACUGAGACACGGCCCAGACUCCUACGGGAGGCAGCAGUGGG
rnacentral:rRNA from 1 species